CCUACGGGAGGCAGCAGUGGGGGAUAUUGCACAAUGGGGGAAACCCUGAUGCAGCGACGCCGCGUGUGGGAAGACGGUCCUCUGGAUUGUAAACCACUGUCCCCAGGGACGAAGAUGACGGUACCUGGGGAGGAAGCUCCGGCUAACUACGUGCCAGCAGCCGCGGUAAUACGGAGGGAGCGAGCUUUGUCCGGAUAUACUGGGUGUAAAGGGAGCGUAGGCGGGGAUGUAAGUUGGGUGUCAAAACUACCGGCACAACUGGUAGGCGCACUCAAAACUGCAGCUCUUGAGUGAAGUAGAGGCAGGCGGAAUUCCUAGUGUAGCGGUGAAAUGCGUAGAUAUUAGGAGGAACACCAGUGGCGAAGGCGGCAUGCUGGGCUUUUACUGACGCUGAGGCUCGAAAGUGUGGGGAGCAAACAGGAUUAGAUACCCGUGUAGUC
rnacentral:rRNA from 1 species